rnacentral:rRNA from 1 species
CCUACGGGAGGCAGCAGUGGGGGAUAUUGCACAAUGGGGGAAACCCUGAUGCAGCGACGCCGCGUGGGUGAAGAAGCGCCUCGGCGCGUAAAGCCCUGUCAGCAGGGAAGAAAAUGACGGUACCUGAAGAAGAAGCCCCGGCUAACUACGUGCCAGCAGCCGCGGUAAUACGUAGGGGACAAGCGUUAUCCGGAUUUACUGGGUGUAAAGGGGGCGCAGGCGGCGAUGCAAGCCAGGAGUGAAAGCCCGGGGCCCAACCACGGGACUGCUCUUGGAACUGCGUGGCUAGAGUGCAGGAGGGGCAGGCGGAAUUCCUGGUGUAGCGGUGAAAUGCGUAGAUAUCAGGAGGAACACCGGUGGCGAAGGCGGCCUGCUGGAAUGCAACUGACGUUGAGGCCCGAAAGCGUGGGGAGCAAACAGGAUUAGAUACCCGGGUAGUC